rnacentral:rRNA from 1 species
GACGAACGCUGGCGGCGUGCUUAACACAUGCAAGUCGAACGAUGAACCGGAGCUUGCUCCGGGGAUUAGUGGCGAACGGGUGAGUAACACGUGGGCAACCUGCCCAGACACCGGGAUAACCUUCCGAAAGGAUGGCUAAUACCGGAUAUGACCACUUCGGGCAUCCGACGGUGGUGGAAAGGAUUCUGGUCUGGGAUGGGCCCGCGGCCUAUCAGCUUGUUGGUGGGGUAAUGGCCUACCAAGGCGACGACGGGUAGCCGGCCUGAGAGGGCGACCGGCCACACUGGGACUGAGACACGGCCCAGACUCCUACGGGAGGCAGCAGUGGGGAAUAUUGCGCAAUGGGCGAAAGCCUGACGCAGCGACGCCGCGUGAGGGACGAAGGUCUUCGGAUUGUAAACCUCUUUCAGCAGGGACGAAGCGAAAGUGACUGUACCUGCAGAAGAAGCACCGGCUAACUACGUGCCAGCAGCCGCGGUAAUGUAGACGUC